rnacentral:lncRNA from 1 species
CAGAGUAUAACAACAAAGACAUUGAAUUCCCAUAACGAAACUUAUGUAUGCAGAGUUCUACAAUCUAAUUCAUCCAAAACAAAGACAAAACAGAGUACUCUUAAACCAAGAUGGAGAGAGUAUAACAACAACAAAAUUAAACUAAAAUGGAGAGCGUAUGGCAACAAGAAACCAAAAUAAUCUGAAUUAAACACAUUUUAAGAUUACAAGCUGCCCGCUUCCAAACCUCAACAAAAUAUGCUUGUGCAUUGAUAUAUAUUAAACCCCCC